rnacentral:rRNA from 1 species
CCUACGGGAGGCUGCAGUAGGGAAUCUUUCACAAUGGGCGAAAGCCUGAUGGAGCAACGCCGCGUGCAGGAUGACGGCCUUCGGGUUGUAAACUGCUUUUAUAAGCGAGAAAUAUGAUGGUAACUUAUGAAUAAGGAACGGCUAACUACGUGCCAGCAGCCGCGGUCAUACGUAGGAUCCGAGCAUGAUCCGGAGUGACUGGGUGUAAAGAGUUGUGUAGGGGGGAUAAUUAGUAGCUAGGGGAAUCUGGUGGCUCAACCAUUCAGACUAUUAGCUAAACUGUUAAUCUUGAGACCAUUAGAGGCAUGUGGAAUUUCUAGUGUAGCAGUGAAAUGCGUAGAUAUUAGGAGGAACACCGAUAGCGAAGGCAGGAUACUGGAACGGUUCUGACACUGAGGCACGAAAGCGUAGGGAGCAAACAGGAUUAGAUACCCCUGUAGUC